rnacentral:rRNA from 1 species
CCCCGGUAAACGGCGGCCGUAACUAUAACGGUCCUAAGGUAGCGAAAUUCCUUGUCGGGUAAGUUCCGACCUGCACGAAUGGCGUAAUGAUGGCCAGGCUGUCUCCACCCGAGACUCAGUGAAAUUGAACUCGCUGUGAAGAUGCAGUGUACCCGCGGCAAGACGGAAAGACCCCGUGAACCUUUACUAUAGCUUGACACUGAACAUUGAGCCUUGAUGUGUAGGAUAGGUGGGAGGCUUUGAAGUGUGGACGCCAGUCUGCAUGGAGCCGACCUUGAAAUACCACCCUUUAAUGUUUGAUGUUCUAACGUGGACCCGUAAUCCGGGUUGCGGACAGUGUCUGGUGGGUAGUUUGACUGGGGCGGUCUCCUCCUAAAGAGUAACGGAGGAGCACGAAGGUUGGCUAAUCCUGGUCGGACAUCAGGAGGUUAGUGCAAUGGCAUAAGCCAGCUUGACUGCGAGCGUGACGGCGCGAGCAGGUGCGAAAGCAGGUCAUAGUGAUCCGGUGGUUCUGAAUGGAAGGGCCAUCGC